rnacentral:rRNA from 1 species
UACGUAGGGAGCAAGCGUUGUCCGGAAUCAUUGGGCGUAAAGCGCGCGUAGGUGGCUUCGUAAGUCCGCUGUGAAAGUCAAAGGCUCAACCUUUGAAAGCCGGUGGAUACUGUGAAGCUAGAGUACGGAAGAGGCGAGUGGAAUUCCUGGUGUAGCGGUGGAAUGCGCAGAUAUCAGGAGGAACACCAAUAGCGAAGGCAGCUCGCUGGGACGGUACUGACGCUAAGGCGCGAAAGCGUGGGGAGCGAACAGG